rnacentral:rRNA from 1 species
GUAGAUCCUUAUGAAUCUUACAACCGAUUUGAUCGGAAAGUCUAAUGGCAAAAAGAAGGGGAUUCGUUACCUCGCUAUUUAGUACAAGUUGGUGAAAUGAGGGAAUCCAUCAAAAUAAUUCAACAAGUUGUAGAAAAAAUUCCUAGAGGACCUUAUGAGAAUUUAGAAGUUCGACGCUUUAAGAAAGAAAAGAAUUCUAAAUGAAAUGAUUUUUAGUAUAAAAUUCUUGGUAAAAAACCUUCACCCAAUUUUGAACGGUCAAGGCAAAAGCUUUAUGUAAGAGUAGAAGCCCCAAAAGUUGAGGGCAUUUAUCUAGUAGAAGAUGAUAGCCUUUUCCCGUGGAGAUGGAAAAUCCAUCCACCCGAUUUUAUCGAUUUGCAAAUUCUUCCUCAGCUAGUUAAAAUGAAAUUGGCGGAUAUCAUGACGAUGUUAGGUAGUAUAUAUAUCAUUUUGGGGGAAGUUGAUCGUUGA